AUUGAACGCUGGCGGCAUGCCUUACACAUGCAAGUCGAACGGCAGCGCGGACUUCGGUCUGGCGGCGAGUGGCGAACGGGUGAGUAAUACAUCGGAACGUACCCUGUUGUGGGGGAUAACUAGUCGAAAGAUUAGCUAAUACCGCAUACGACCUGAGGGUGAAAGUGGGGGACCGCAAGGCCUCACGCAGCAGGAGCGGCCGAUGUCUGAUUAGCGAGUUGGUGGGGUAAAGGCCCACCAAGGCGACGAUCAGUAGCUGGUCUGAGGGGACGAUCAGCCACACUGGGACUGAGACACGGCCCAGACUCCUACGGGAGGCAGCAGUGGGGAAUUUUGGACAAUGGGGGCAACCCUGAUCCAGCAAUGCCGCGUGUGUGAAGAAGGCCUUCGGGUUGUAAAGCACUUUUGUCCGGAAAGAAAUCGCGCUGGUUAAUACCUGGCGUGGAUGACGGUACCGGAAGAAUAAGCACCGGCUAACUACGUGCCAGCAGCCGCAGUAA
rnacentral:rRNA from 1 species